UACGGAGGGGGCUAGCGUUGUUCGGAAUUACUGGGCGUAAAGCGCACGUAGGCGGCUUUGUAAGUUAGAGGUGAAAGCCCGGGGCUCAACUCCGGAAUUGCCUUUAAGACUGCAUCGCUAGAAUUGUGGAGAGGUAGGUGGAAUUCCGAGUGUAGAGGUGAAAUUCGUAGAUAUUCGGAAGAACACCAGUGGCGAAGGCGACUUACUGGACACAUAUUGACGCUGAGGUGCGAAAGCGUGGGGAGCAAACAGG
rnacentral:rRNA from 1 species